rnacentral:rRNA from 1 species
GACGGACGCUGGCGGCGUGCUUAACACAUGCAAGUCGAACGAUGAAGCUGGAGCUUGCUCCGGUGGAUUAGUGGCGAACGGGUGAGUAACACGUGAGCAAUCUGCCCUUGACUCUGGGAUAACUGCGGGAAACUGUAGCUAAUACCGGAUAUGAGAUCUGAAGGCAUCUUCGGGUUUGGAAGGAAUUUCGGUCAAGGAUGAGCUCGCGGCCUAUCAGCUAGUCGGUGAGGUAAUGGCUCACCAAGGCGACGACGGGUAGCCGGCCUGAGAGGGUGACCGGCCACACUGGAACUGAGACACGGUCCAGACUCCUACGGGAGGCAGCAGUGGGGAAUAUUGCACAAUGGGCGGAAGCCUGAUGCAGCAACGCCGCGUGAGGGAUGAAGGCCUUCGGGUUGUAAACCUCUUUUAGCAGGGAAGAAGCGAGAGUGACGGUACCUGCAGAAAAAGCACCGGCUAACUACGUGCCAGCAGCCGCCGUAA